AAAACACUUGUGCUCUUCCCGACCCACAAUCCAUCAGGAGGGGUACGCUGGCUGCCUGGUAACCACGAGAUCAUUUCCUGAAUUCGCAGGACCUCUUUAACACUAUCCAAACAUUAGAAAGUGCAAGGACUUCCCACAUCCUCUGGCUUCACUGUCUGCAGUCCACAGGAGCUGCAGUUGCUAAACCCACUGGGUGGAUGAGCCAUUGUCACUAGAGCUUCGCGAUCGCAACAGCGCUUCCAUCGUUCUUUUAGCAUCUCAAGGUCUCACACUAAAUGAUAUUAAACUGUGAAACUUUACAUCAACGUAAAGUGUUGAUAAUACUAACUACCAGUUCCGGAGAAGCUCGGGCUCCAGGUGAGGUAAGAGUUGGGCAGGACCUGGUUGUGCCAGGCACGGGUCACAAGGACCCCGCUGAUAAAACGGGUAAGUGCGGUGAAGAAGCCGAUCAAAACCCACCAAAACCAAGAUGGCAAUGAAAGCGACUUCUGAUGACCCUCACUGCUCGUUAGAUGCGAAUUAUCAUGCAUUAGCAGCUAAAAGUCACUCCCACCAGUGCCGUGACAGUUUAUAAAUGCCAUGGCAACGUGGGGAAGUUACUAUAUGGACUGAAAGUGGGAAGUGGGAAGAACCCUUGGUUCCAGGAAUUCCCCACCCUUCUCACACCCCCCCACCCAAAAUCACGAAUAAUCCACCCCAUUUAGCAUAUGAUCAAGAAAUAACCAUAAAAAUAGCAAACCAGCAACCCUCAGUGCUGCUCUGCCUAUGGAGUAGCCAUUCUUUUAUUCCUUUACUUUCUUAAUAAACUUGCUUUCACUUUACUGUGUCGGCUGGCUCUAGAAUUCCUUCCUGCGUGAAGCCAAGACCCCAUGUGGCCUCCCAGGCUGAGCCUGUGUUGAAGUUCACCCUGUGACACAGGCAAUGUGCAUUGCUGUGUGUGCACUAACCCUAUGAGACAGAGAGCAGGGCACUUGUUUUACAGAUGAAG